rnacentral:tRNA from 1 species
GGGGAUGUGGCUUAAUGGUAGAGUGCUUACCUAGCAUGUGUGAGACCCUGGGUUCAUUUCCCAGCACUGCAA